CACGUGAAAUCCUGUCUGAAGAUGGGGGGGACCAUCCUCCAAGGCUAAAUACUCGUAAUCGACCGAUAGCGAACAAGUACCGUGAGGGAAAGGCGAAAAGAACCCCGGGAGGGGAGUGAAAUAGAUCCUGAAACCGCAUGCAUACAAAAAGUCGGAGCCUCGAAAGGGGUGACGGCGUACCUUUUGUAUAAUGGGUCAGCGACUUACAUUCAGUGGCGAGGUUAACCGAAUAGGGUAGCCGAAGAGAAAUCGAGUCCGAAUAGGGCGUCUAGUCGCUGGGUGUAGACCCGAAACCAGGUGAUCUAUCCAUGGCCAGGAUGAAGGUGCGGUAACACGCACUGGAGGUCCGAACCGACUAGUGUUGCAAAACUAGCGGAUGAGCUGUGGAUAGGGGUGAAAGGCUAAAACAAACCUGGAGAUAGCUGGUUCUCUCCGAAAACUAUUUAGGUAGUGCCUCAAGUAUUACCGUCGGGGGUAGAGC
rnacentral:rRNA from 1 species